rnacentral:rRNA from 1 species
GUCUACGGCCAUGCCACCCUGAACAUGCCCAAUCUCAUCUGAUCUCAGAAGCUAAGCAGGGUCAGACCUGGUUAGUACUUGGAUGGGAGACCACCCAGGAAUACCAGGUGCUGUAGGCG